GACGAACGCUGGCGGCGUGCUUAACACAUGCAAGUCACGGGGGCGUCGCAAGAGCAACCGGCGAACGGGUGCGUAACACGUGAGCAAUCUGCCGAUUUCUGGGGGAGUAGCCGGCCCAACGGCCGGGUAAUACCGCAUAUGUUCUCGAGGGGAGUCCUCUUGGGAAGAAACCUCCGGGGAAAGUCGAGGAGCUCGCGGCCUAUCAGCUAGUUGGCGGUGUAAUGGACCACCAAGGCAUGACGGGUAGCUGGUCUGAGAGGAUGGCCAGCCACAUUGGGACUGAGAGACGGCCCAGACUCCUACGGGAGGCAGCAGUGGGGAAUCUUGCGCAAUGGCCGAAAGGCUGACGCAGCGACGCCGCGUGU
rnacentral:rRNA from 1 species